CCCGACGCUGACUUUCGUUGACUUAACGGCCACAGCUGUCGCUGUUAACAAGCAUUUCUGAAAGUUACAAAUAGUCCCUUUGAUAGGCUAUUGUGUACAACUGAGACACAGCUUGACAUACUUUAUACGUACUGGCAAUAAUAUUCAAGUUACAUCAAAUUAUCUAUAACAUUAUCAGAGAGUUUUAUAUUUCACUACUCCAAAGCUUACAGACAUUCAAAUUACAUAUAGUGUAGUUCUUAUAUAAACUUAAAAUACAGUACUAUGGAAAAA